rnacentral:rRNA from 1 species
AUUGAACGCUGGCGGCAGGCCUAACACAUGCAAGUCGAGCGCGCGGCGGAGGGGUGAGUAAUGUCUGGGACACUGCCUGGUGGAGGGGGAUAACCACUGGACACUGUAUCUAACCCCGUAUUCCCUCAGAUGUGCCCAGAGGGGAUUAGCUAGUAGGUGGGGUAAUGGCUCACCUAGGCGACGAUCCCUAGCUGGUCUGAGAGGAUGCACAGCCACACUGGAACUGAGACACGGUCCAGACUCCUACGGGAGGCAGCAGUGGGGAAUAUUGCACAAUGGGCGCAAGCCUGAUGCAGCCAUGCCGCGUGUGUGAAGAAGGCCUUCGGGUUGUAAAGCACUUUCAGCGGGGAGGCGUUACUCGCAGAAGAAGCACCGGCUAACUCCGUGCCAGCAGCCGCGGUAAUAC